GAUUGUCAAGUGGUUAAGGCGUUCGCUCGGAAUGCGAAAGGUUCAGGGUUCGAUUCCCUGAUCG
rfam:Folsomia candida strain VT population Fcan01_Sc008, whole genome shotgun sequence.